UGCAAGUCGAGGGGUAACGGGGAAGCUUGCUUCCGCCGACGACCGGCGCACGGGUGCGUAACGCGUAUACAAUCUACCUUGUACUGGGGUAUAGCCUUUAGAAAUGAAGAUUAACCCCCCAUAGUCUCUUAGAGUGGCAUCACUUCUGGAGUAAAGGUUACGGUAUAAGAUGAGUAUGCGUUCUAUUAGUUUGUUGGUGUGGUAACGGCACACCAAGACUACGAUAGAUAGGGGCCCUGAGAGGGGGAUCCCCCACACUGGUACUGAGACACGGACCAGACUCCUACGGGAGGCAGCAGUGAGGAAUAUUGGACAAUGGAGGCAACUCUGAUCCAGCCAUGCCGCGUGCAGGAAGACUGCCCUAUGGGUUGUAAACUGCUUUUAUACAGGAAGAAACACCUCUACGUGUAGAGGCUUGACGGUACUGUAAGAAUAAGGAUCGGCUAACUCCGUGCCAGCAGCCGCGGUAAUACGGAGGAUCCAAGCGUUAUCCGGAAUCAUUGGGUUUAAAGGGUCCGUAGGUGGAUAAUUAAGUCAGAGGUGAAAUCUUGCAGCUCAACUGUAAAAUUGCCUUUGAAACUGGUUAUCUUGAGUUAUUAUGAAGUAGUUAGAAUAUGUAGUGUAGCGGUGAAAUGCAUAGAUAUUACAUA
rnacentral:rRNA from 1 species